GAUGAAGAACGUAGCGAAAUGCGAUAAGUAAUGUGAAUUGCAGAAUUCAGUGAAUCAUCGAAUCUUUGAACGCACAUUGCGCCCGCCAGUAUUCUGGCGGGCAUGCCUGUUCGAGCGUCAUUUCAACCAUCAAGCCCUGCUUGCGUUGGGGUCCUGCGGCUGCCCGCAGGCCCUGAAAACCAGUGGCGGGCUCGCUAGUCACACCGAGCGUAGUAACUCUACAUCGCUAUGGUCGUGCGGCGGGUUCUUGCCGUAAAACCCCCAAUUUUUUAAGGUUGACCUCGGAUCAGGUAGGAAUACCCGCUGAACUUAAGCAUAUCAAUAAGCGGAGGA
rnacentral:misc_RNA from 1 species